AAACACACCGUAUUGAGAGGUGACCGCUGGGAUUAAAGGCUGUGAGCCACAGAAACACACCGUAUUGAGAGGUGACCGCUGGGAUUAAAAGGCUGUGAGCCACAGAAACACACCGUAUUGAGAGGUGACCGCUGGGAUUAAAAGGCUGUGAGCCACAGAAACACACCGUAUUGAGAGGUGACCGCUGGGAUUAAAAGGCUGUGAGCCACAGAAACACAUCGUAUUGAGAGGUGACCGCUGGGAUUAAAAGGCUGUGAGCCACAGAAACACACCGUAUUGAGAGGUGACCGCUGGGAUUAAAAGGCUGUGAGCCACAGAAACACACCGUAUUGAGAGGUGACCGCUGGGAUUAAAAGGCUGUGAGCCACAGAAACACACCGUAUUGAGAGGUGACCGCUGGGAUUAAAAGGCUGUGAGCCACAGAAACACACCGUAUUGAGAGGUGACCGCUGGGAUUAAAAGGCUGUGAGCCACAGAAACACACCGUAUUGAGAGGUGACCGCUGGGAUUAAAAGGCUGUGAGCCACAGAAACACACCGUAUUGAGAGGUGACCGCUGGGAUUAAAAGGCUGUGAGCCACAGA